AUGGCGACCUGGCAGCGGGGUCGCGGCUGCUGGGAGCGGAGCCCGCCGGAGCCGAGGCCGCGGGCGGGGCCGAGGGGUCCCCGCGCCGAGGAGGAGGCGGCGUCCCCGGCCGUCCUGUCCCUCAGCCACUUCUGCAGGUCGCCCUUCCUCUGCUUCGGGGACGUGCGCCUGGGAGCCUCGCGGACGCUGCCCCUGACCCUGGACAACCCCAACGAGGAGGCGGCCGCCGUGCGGCUGUCCCGCGGCCCCGCCGCCGAACGCGGCUUCACGAUCUGGCCGAGAGCCUUCGUGCUGCAGCCUAAAGAAAAAAUUGUUGUUUCUAUUACCUGGACACCGUUGAAAGGAGGCCGAGUAAGAGAGACUGUGACAUUUCUUGUAAAUGAUAUUCUGAAACACCAAGCUAUAUUACUAGGAAAUGCAGAAGAGCCGAAAAAGAAAAAGAGGACUCUUUGGGAUACUAUUAAUAAGAAGAAAGUAUCGGCCUCUUCAAGACAUAACAAGAAGGUUUCAAAUAUUCAAAAUGUAAAUAAAACAUUUAAUGUUUCCCCCAAAGCUGACAAAGUUAGGAGCCCGCUACAAGCCUGUGAGAAUCUGGCUACAAAUGGAAACUGUUCCCCACCAGAAAGCAAUCCUUUAAUCCUUGAAGAAAAUAAACUCCCUAUAUCACCUAUCAGCCCCGCAUUCCAAGAGUGCCACAGGGAGACCUGCUUGCCACUUCAUGUUCGUCGCUCUACGACCUACACGUCCCUUCCUGCUUCUGAAAAUGGGGAACUGGAGAAAGCAGACGGUGCCAACACUGCAAAAGAUUUUCAUUUUAAUGAGAAAGGCAUAACUGAAACCUCCUUUGACUCCAUAGACAAUGUUAAUAGUCAGACUGAAGAGAACGGUAAACUUACUCUUACCCCAAAUUAUUCUUCAAGUUUGAACAUCACACAAAGCCAAGGACAUUUUCUAAGUCCGGAUUCUUUUGUGAAUAAUAGCCAUGCAUCUAAUAAUGAACCAGAAUUCGUGAAGUGCCUCUCACCAGAUAUGUUUGUGAAAGGUAAUACAAGGCCUGUGCUUUUGGAAUCAAAAAGGGUACAUGAAAUCUGUCGGAAAAUUCUAAGUCCAGAUUCUUUCAUAAAUGAUAACUAUGGACUAAAUGAGGAUCUAGAAACAGAGUCCGUCAACCCAAUUCUCUCCCCAAAUCAAUUUUUAAAAGAUAAUAUAGCAUAUAUAUGUAUAUCUCAGCAAACAUGUCAAUUGCCAUUAUCAACUAGACGUUUUCAGGACUCACAGCCUCCUCAAGACGAGAGAAAAAAUGCAGCUGUACCUUGUAUUUCUGAAUGUCAGCAGUUAGAAUCUCCAAAAGCUACUUUUGAAGCAUCCAAAGCUUUAGAAGUGAUGUCAAACUCUUACACUUUUAAAAAACAGAACCAGCCUAAAUUUUCGGCAGUUCAGGAUAUUUCUAGUCACAGCCGUGAAAAACCUAUUAAGAGACGCCCAAUACUUUCUGCCACUGUGACUAAAAGAAAGCCCACUUGCGCUGUAGAAAACCAAAUGGAGACUGUUAAACCAAAGGCAAAAAGAUGUCUCAAUGUUGUAGUGGGUGACUGUGAAAAAGAAACAGAUGAUCAAAAAGAGAAAGAUGAUUUUCAUCCUCUUCUUCCAACUAGAGAUUUAAUACUGAGCAGACCUAAGAGCUCUAAAAACAUUGUAACUCCUCCCUGCAAGGCAGCUUCAGUUGCUCGUAAAAGAAAGAGUAAGGGACACACAGGAGAUGAAAAUGUGAGGGUAAGAGUUACAGAAUGCUCGGAAGUGCAAGAAGUCAAAAGGACCCAUUUUUCUCCUCUGGCAUCUAAAACAUCAACUGUUAAACACACACACAAAGUGCUAACCUCCUCCUUGAAACGUGUUAGCCACAGAGAGAAAGUAAACCUGAAGAGGAAAACAGAUUCGUUAGGAUACAGAACUCCUACUUCUAAAACAAACAAAAGGACAAGACCCUUUGUUCCUGUGGCUCAGUCUAACUUGACCUUCAUAAAAGCGCUAAAAGCAGGUAUACCUAGACAUCCAAUGCCGUUUGCUGCAAAAAACAUAUUUUAUGAUGAACGCUGGAAGGAGAAGCAGGAACAGGGCUUCACUUGGUGGCUAAAUUUUAUAUUAACUCCUGACGACUUCACUGUAAAAACAAAUAUUUCUGAAGUAAAUGCUUCCACUCUUCUUCUGGGAGUAGAGAGUCAACAUAAAAUAAGUGUCCCGAAAGCUCCUACCAAGGACGAGGUGUCUCUCAGAGCUUACACAGCUCGGUGCAGGUUGAACAGGUUGCGUCGUGCCGCAUGCCGCUUAUUUACUUCUGAAAAAAUGGUUAAGGCUAUGAAAAAGCUUGAAAUUGAAAUCGAAGCUCGGCGGUUAAUUGUUCGGAAAGACAGGCACCUCUGGAAAGAUGUGGGAGAACGGCAGAAAGUCCUGAAUUGGCUAUUGUCAUAUAAUCCUUUGUGGCUACGAAUCGGCCUAGAGACAAUAUACGGAGAACUGGUGCCUCUGGAAGACAACAGUGACGUCACGGGGCUGGCGAUGUUCAUUCUGAACCGCCUGCUUUGGAAUCCUGACAUCGCAGCCGAGUACAGGCACCCGAGUGUCCCUCACCUGUACAGAGAUGGUCAUGAAGAAGCUCUGUCUAAGUUUACAUUGAAAAAACUAUUAUUGUUGGUUUGUUUCCUUGAUUAUGCCAAAAUCUCUAGACUUAUUGAUCAUGAUCCUUGUCUCUUCUGUAAAGAUGCCGAGUUCAAGGCCAGUAAAGAUAUCCUUCUGGCUUUUUCACGAGAUUUCCUAGGCGGUGAAGGUGACCUUUCCCGUCACCUGAGCUUACUGGGAUUUCCUGUGACCCACGUCCAGAUGCCUUUCGAUGAAUUUGAUUUUGCUGUUAAGAAUCUUGCUGUAGACUUGCAGUGUGGGGUGCGUCUCGUGCGAACUAUGGAACUUCUCACACAAAACUGGAAUCUCUCAAAGAAACUCAGAAUUCCUGCAAUAAGUCGUCUUCAAAAGAUGCACAAUGUUGACAUCGUUCUUGAAAUUCUUAAAUCACGAGGAAUUCAGUUGAAUGAUGAGCAUGGAAAUGCAAUCCUGUCUAAGGAUAUUGUGGACAGACACAGAGAGAAAACCCUGGCGUUGCUUUGGAAGAUCGCAUUGGCUUUUCAGGUGGAUAUUUCCCUUAAUUUGGAUCAAUUAAAAGAAGAAAUUGACUUUUUAAAGAAGACACAGAGUAUGAAGAAAACAAUGUCUGCACUGUUAUGCCGUCCUGAUGCUGUUAUCAGUAAAAAAAGAGAUGAAAGGCAUAGCGGUCCCUUUGAACAAUACAGUGAAAGCGUAAAGCUACUGAUGGAUUGGGUAAAUGCUGUCUGUGGCUUCUAUAAUAAAAAAGUGGAGAACUUCACAGUGUCUUUCUCGGACGGCCGGGUGUUGUGUUACCUGAUCCACCACUACCAUCCUUGCUAUGUUCCUUUUGACGCCAUAUGUCAGCGGACCACGCAGACCGUGGAGUGCACACACACUGGUUCCGUGGUGCUGAAUUCAUCAUCUGAAUCUGACGGAAGUUUUCUGGAUUUGUCUUUUAAAUCACCUGAUCAGGAAAAUACUUCAGAACUAUACAAAGAACUCCUGGAAAAUGAAAAGAAAAAUUUUCAGUUGGUUAGGUCUGCAGCUAGAGACCUUGGUGGAAUACCUGCCAUGAUCCAUCACUCAGAUAUGUCAAACACAAUCCCUGAUGAGAAGGUGGUGAUUACCUAUUUGUCAUUUCUUUGUGCGAGGCUUUUGGAUCUUCGUAAAGAAACGAGAGCCGCUCGACUUAUACAAACAACUUGGAGACAAUAUAAGCUAAAAAAAGAUCUAAAACACCAUCAGAGAUACUGGAGAAGAUAUUCCACUAGAAAGCAGUUUCUGAAAUUGAAAUAUUAUUCAAUUAUCCUGCAAUCUAAGAUAAGAAUGAUCAUUGCUGUUGCUUCUUACAAACGAUACCACUGGGCUACCGUGACAAUUCAGAGGCACUGGCGUGCUCAUGUUAGAAGCAAGCAGGAUCGACAGAGAUAUGAAUUGCUAAGAUCAUCCACCCUUGUAAUCCAGUCCGCCUUCAGGAGAUGGAGGCGACAUAAGAGGCAAUCACAAAUAAAUGCUGCCAUAACAUUGCAAAGAGCUUUCAGAGAAUGGCGUGUCCAGAAACGCGCUCAAGAAGAAAGAGCUGCCGUGGUCAUACAAUCCUGGUAUAGGAUGCACAGAGAAUCACAGAAGUACAUUCACCUUAGAUCUUGUGUUAUCAUCAUUCAGGCAAGAUUCCGGUGUUUUCAAGCCCAAAAGUUAUAUACAAGGACCAGAGAGUCUAUCCUGACUCUGCAGAAGCACUACAGAGCAUACGUGAAAGGAAAGGUUGAGCGCACAGGCUAUUUGCAGAAACGGGCUGCAGCCAUCCGCCUGCAGGCUGCUUUCAGGGGAAGGAGAGCACGUAACUUAUGCAAGCAGAUCAGGGCCGCUUGUGUCUUACAGUCGUGCUGGAGAAUGAGACAGGACAGACUCCGAUUUCUAAACCUUAAGAAAAACAUCAUCAGGCUGCAGGCACACAUAAGGAGACGUCAACAAUUACAGACAUACCAGAAGAUGAAGAAAGCCGCCCUCGUAAUUCAGAUUCACUUCCGAGCUUACAUCUCGGCCAAGGAAGUUCUGGCCUCUUACCAGAAGACCCGUUCUGCUGUCAUCGUCCUGCAGUCUGCGUGCAGGAGAAUGCAGGCCAGGAAAAAGUUUCUUCACAUCCUCACAGCAGUUGUAAAGAUUCAAUCAUAUUACAGGGCUUAUGCUUCCAGAAGAAAGUUUCUGAGGCUCAAAAAGGCUACAGUGAAGUUACAAUCCAUUGUCAGGAUGAAGCAAGCCCGCAAACAAUAUUUACAUUUAAGAGCAAUUGCACAACAGAGAGAAGAACACCUGCGGGCCUCUUGCAUCAAACUGCAAGCUUUCCUCAGAGGGUACCUGGUUCGGAAGCAGGUGAGGCUGCAGAGAAAAGCCGCUGUUUUGCUGCAGUCUUAUUUUAGGAUGAGAAAGAUGCGGCUGGAGUACCUGAAAGUCUGUCAAGCAGCUGUUGUCAUUCAGCGUUACUAUCGUGCACACAGAGCAGGGGCCCAGCAGAGGAAGCACUUCCUGCAAGUCAGAAGAGCCGUGACCUGUUUGCAGGCCGCUUACAGAGGGUAUAAGGUCCGCCGGCAGCUGCAACAGCAAUCUGCAGCUGCUCUGAAAAUUCAAGCUGCUUUUAGAGGCUAUCGUCAGAGGACAAAGUAUCAAUCCAUGCUUCAGUCUGCGCUCAAGAUUCAGAGAUGGUACAGGACACGCAAGAUGGUUUCUGCCCUAAGAAGCCAUUUCUUCAAAACAAGGACAGCUGCAAUUUCUCUCCAGUCUGCUUAUCGUGGCUGGAAAGUUCGGAAGCAGAUGAGAAAGGAACAUGAAGCUGCAGUGAAGAUUCAGUCUGCUUUCAGAACGGCCAGGGCCCAGAAGGAGUUCAGGUUGUUAAAAACGGCAGCAUCCGUGAUCCAGCAGCAUCUGAGAGCGCGCGCAACGGGGCUGAGGCAGCGGACAGAGUACAUGGCACUGCGCCGGGCGGCAGUGACGCUCCAGUCCGCCUGGAGGGGCCGAGCAGCCAGGAGGCGGAUUCAGAAGCAACAGAGAUGUGCCAUCAUCAUACAGGCCUGCUACCGAAGGCACGUGCAGCGGAAGAGGUGGGAAAUCAUGAAAAAAGCGGCUCGUCUAAUUCAAAUGCAUUAUCGGGCUUAUCGUACAGGAAGAAAACAGCAUCAUUUGUUUUUGAAAACCAAAGGAGCUGCAAUAAUCCUACAGUCAGCUUUCCGAGGUGUGAGAGCGAGGAAGAAAGUGAAGGAGAUGCACCAGGCAGCCACCACCAUACAGUCUAGAUACCGAGCGUACCAAGCCAGAAAGAAGUACGCCAGCUACAGAGCAGCGGCAGUCAUCAUUCAGAGGUGGUAUCGAGCGGCUAAGCUCGCAGGCUGUCAGCGUGAGGAAUAUCUUGCUGUAAAGAAGGCAGCACUGAAAAUCCAGGCCGUCUAUAGAGGAGUCAGAGAAAGAAGACAGACCCGGCGCAUGCACAUGGCAGCCACUCUCAUCAAAGCCGCCUUCAAAAUGCAGCAGUCACGAAGGAGGUAUCAGCAAAUGAGAACAGCAGCCAUCGUAAUUCAGGUAAGGUACCGAGCGUACCGCCAAGGUAGAGCUCAGCAUGCAAAGUACCUGACCACUCUGAAAGCCGUUGCCCUCCUCCAGGCAGCUCUCAGAGGGGCAAGAGUUAGACAGAACCUGAGAAGGAUGCGGACCGCGGCCACGCUCAUCCAGGCCCACUACAGGGGGCGCCGACAGCAAGCCUAUUUUAAUAAGUUAAAGAAGGUGACGAAAACGGUGCAGCAGAAGUACCGGGCAGGGAGGGAAAGGCAUGCACAACUGCGAAGGUACAACCAGCUGAGACGCUCCGCGAUCUGCAUUCAGGCUGCUUUCAGGGGCAUGAGAGCGCGAAAACGCUUAAAAGCCAUGCACUCCGCCGCAGCAGUAAUCCAGCGGAGAUUUAGGACUCUGGUGAUGAGGAGAAGAUUCCUGUCUCUCAGGAAGACCGCUGUGUGGGUUCAGAGAAAAUACCGUGCAAAGGUUUGUGCAAGGCAUCACUUACAACAGCUCCAGUUGCAGAAGGCAGCUAUCAAAAUCCAGUCCUGGUACAGGGGGUGGAUGGUGAGGAAGAAGACACAGGAGAUGCGCAGGGCGGCCACGGUCCUCCAGGCUGCGUUCAGGAGGCACCGUGCACGGGCGAGGUACCAGGCCUGGAGGCGCGCCUCGCAGGUCAUCCAGCAGCGGUUCCGGGCAGGCCAAGCUGCGCGCCUGCAGAGGAGACAGUACCUCCAGCAACGACGCUCUGCGCUGGUCCUCCAGGCUGCGUUCAGGGGUAUGAGAAUCCGAAGACGUCUGAAAAGGAUGCAUGCCUCCGCGACCCUGAUUCAGAGCAGGUUUAGGUCUGUAAGGGUGAGGAAAAGAUUCCUUUCCCUCAAGAAAGCUGCUGUUUUUGUUCAGAGGAAGUACCGAGCCGCGAUCUGUGCCAAACACCACUUGCAGCGAUUCCUGGAGUUAAAGAAAGCAAUCAUUAUAAUCCAGGCGUUUUACCGAAGACGGAUGGUAAAGAAGCAGUUACAGGAGAUGCACAGGGCUGCGGCCCUUAUCCAGGCAAGCUUCAGAAUGCACAGAGCGCGCCUGGCCUUUCAGACCUGGAAACUCGCUGCGGUUCUCAUUCAGCAGCAUUACCGGGCAUACAGAGCUGCAAAACUGCAAAGAGCACUUUACAUCAGAUGGAGGCAUUCUGCAGUGGUCAUUCAGGCUGCGUAUAAAGGGCUGAAAGCAAGGCAGCUUUUAAGGGAAAAGCACAGAGCUGCUGUCAUAAUACAAAGCACCUACAGAAUGUACAGGCAACAUUUCUCCUACCAAAAGCUUCAGUGGGCUACAAAAGUAAUACAAGAAAGAUAUAGAGUGAGUAAAAGGAAAGCUCUUCAACACGAUGCACUCAAAGCAGCAGCCUGUGCCCGAGCUGACUUUCAGGAUAUGGUCAUAAGGGGACUGAUUCAGGAAAGGCAGCAUCAAGCUGCCAUUACUGUUCAGAAGCAUUUUAGAGCCUUUAAAACACGGAAGCGCUAUCUCCACUUUAGGGCAAAGGUAGUUUUUGUUCAAAGAAGAUACAGAGUGCUAAUGGCAGUGCGAACCCAGGCAGCCAUCUGUAUCCAGUCUUGUUUCAGAGGAUUUAAGGCACGAAGGGGUAUCCAGGGCAUGCACCUGGCUGCCACACGAAUUCAAUCAUGCUACCGAAGGCACCGGGCCAGAGCUGAUUAUCAGGCCAAGAAAAGAGCAGUUGUUGUCAUACAGAAUCACUACAGGUCGUAUGUCAGAGUGAAAAUGGAGAGGAAGGAAUUUUUAGCCAUUCAGAAAUCUGCACGAACUAUUCAGGCUGCUUUCAGAGGCAUGAAAGUUAGACAGAAAUUAAAAACCAUGCCUGACGAAAAGAUGGCAGCCCCUGCUACCCGGCCUGCAUUCUACUGUCACAGGACUGAGAGCCAGCAUGAAGCUGGCCAGAGUCCAGCACUUGUGGCUCAAGGGCUGUAUAAAACUUCUCUGGUUGGCCCUUCACAGGAAACAGAGCAUCAUUCUCAAAGAAAAGCUGCGGUCACAAUUCAAAAAGCUUUCCGUAAAAUGGUCACAAGAAGACUGGAAAAACAGAGGCGUGCUGCUGUGCAAAUUCAGUCCUUCCUUCAGAUGGCCGUAUAUCGCAGAAGAUUCCUUCAGCAGAAAAGGGCGGCCCUCACGUUACAGCGGUACUUCAGGACACAGCAAAGCAGAAAACGGUUCUUACUGUACAGAGAAGCAGCAGUGGGUUUGCAGAAUCCCCACAGAGCCUUUCUGCCUGCAAAACAUAAAAGAGAACUGUACUCACAAAUAAGGAGCAGUGUAAUCAUUAUUCAAGCUAGAGUGAAAGGAUUUAUACAGAAACGGAAGUUUCGGAAACUUAAAGAUAGCACCAUAAAAAUCCAGGCUGUGUGGAGGAGACACAAAGCCAGGAAAUAUUUACGAGAAGUGAAAGCUGCCUGCAGGAUUCAAGCCUGGUACAGGUGCCGGAAAGCACGUAAGGAGUAUCUGGCUGUGUUAAGAGCUGUUAGAAUCAUUCAGCGUUGCUUCUGCACCCAACAGCAGAGAAGACGGUUUUUGAAUGUGAGAGCCUCAGCAGUCAUCAUUCAGAGAAGAUGGAGAGCUGUACUCUCUGGAAGAACAACUCAUGAACAAUCCUUAAUGACGAAAAGACAUCAAGCUGCUUGUUUGAUCCAAGCAAAUUUCAGAGGAUAUAAAGCAAGGCAGGUGUUUCUUCAGCAGAAAUCAGCUGCUUUGACCAUACAGAGAUUCAUACGAGCCAGGAAGGCUGGGAAGCAUCAGAGGAUGAAAUAUGUCGAAUUAAAAAAAUCUACAGUUGUUCUACAAGCACUGGUGCGUGGUUGGCUCGUAAGGAAAAGGAUCUCAGAGCAGAGAGCCAAAAUCCGGCUUCUUCACUUCGCAGCAGCUGCCUUUUAUCACCUGUCUGCUCUUAGAAUUCAAAGAGCCUACAGGCGUCACAUGGCUCUGAAGAACGCUAACAAUAAACAGCUUAACUCAGCCAUCUGUAUUCAGAGAUGGUUUCGAGCAAGAUCACAGCGUAAGAGGUUUCUUCAGAAAUACAGCAUCGUGAACAUUCAGCGUGAAGCUCGAGAACAAGCCAGCCAGCACAGCAGGGCUGCCUCCGUAAUACAGAGAGCUGUCCGCCAUUUCCUCCUCCGUAAAAAGCAGGAAAACUUGAACAAAAGAAUCGCUAAAAUUCAGGCACUAUGGAGAGGAUAUUCUUGGAGGAAGAAAAAUGAUACUUCAAAAACUAAAGCCAUUCGACAGAGACUUCAGUGUGUUAACAGGGAGAUUCGGGAAGAAAACAAGCUCUACCACAGAACAGUAUUUGCCCUGCACCAUCUCCUGACGUACAAGUACCUUUCCACUGUGCUUGAGGCCCUGAAGCACCUGGAGGCAGUUACUAGAUUGUCUUCAGUUUGCUGCGAGAAGAUGGCCCAGAGCGGAGCAAUCUCUAAAGUAUUUGUCUUGAUCCGAAGCUGUAACCGGAGCGUCCCGUGUAUGGAGGUCAUCAGAUACGCCGUGCAAGUCUUGCUUAAUGUCGCCAAGUAUGAGAAGACGACUUCAGCGAUUUAUGAUGUCGAAAACUGUGUAGAUACACUGCUGGAGCUUCUGCAGAUGUACCAGGAAAAGUCUGGUGACAAAGUCGCCGACAAGAGCAGAAGCAUUUUCACAAAAACCUGUUGUUUGUUGGCUGUUUUAUUAAAGACGACAACUCGCGCUUCGGAUAUUCAAAGUAGGUCCAAAGUUGUCGACCGUAUUUAUAGUCUCUACAAACUUACAGCUCACAAGCAUAAAGUGAAUACUGAAAGAAUCCUUUGUAAACAAAAGAAGAAUUCUUCUGUGAGCCUUUCCUUUUUUCCAGAAACACCUGUAAGAACCAGAAUGGUUUCAAGACUCAAACCAGACUGGGUUUUGAGAAGAGAUAAUGUGGAAGAAAUCAUGACUCCUCUGAAAGCUAUUCAGAUGGUGAUGGACACGCUCAGCCUUCCUUAUUAGCAGAGGCAAGCGUCUCGGCCUGUACAAGAAAAGACACAGGAAAGCUCAUCAUGC
rnacentral:lncRNA from 1 species